rnacentral:rRNA from 1 species
CCUACGGGAGGCAGCAGUGAGGAAUAUUGGUCAAUGGACGAGAGUCUGAACCAGCCAAGUAGCGUGAAGGAUGACUGCCCUAUGGGUUGUAAACUUCUUUUAUAUGGGAAUAAAACGUUCCACGUGUGGGAUUUUGUAUGUACCAUAUGAAUAAGGAUCGGCUAACUCCGUGCCAGCAGCCGCGGUAAUACGGAGGAUCCGAGCGUUAUCCGGAUUUAUUGGGUUUAAAGGGAGCGUAGGUGGAUUGUUAAGUCAGUUGUGAAAGUUUGCGGCUCAACCGUAAAAUUGCAGUUGAAACUGGCAGUCUUGAGUACAGUAGAGGUGGGCGGAAUUCGUGGUGUAGCGGUGAAAUGCUUAGAUAUCACGAAGAACUCCGAUUGCGAAGGCAGUUCACUGGACUGCAACUGACACUGAGGCUCGAAAGUGUGGGUAUCAAACAGGACUAGAUACCCCAGUAGUC